ensembl:lncRNA
GAUAACUGUGUGUUUCAGUACGUCAUUCAGAAUCUAAUAAGACUACACAUUAACAUGAUCACUGCACAGUUCAGCUUCAUUAAAGAUAAUCUCUGCGCAGACUCCUUCGGACAGGGCAGGCCACGCCCCCUGUAUUCUCUUCUGCUAUUGAUCAGUACAGUGAUUUGCAGCAUGUAAUCCAAUGCUCUGUGACAGGCUGUAACUGAGGUUAAAGAUGGCAAUUUAAUUAUGUGUCAGAGGUCAUAUUAAAGGCUGACCCCUUGACCCAUUACCAAGAAUGAUAGUGAUAACCUUUUGUUAUUGUUUAAACUAAGCAACAUAACAGGCGAGUAGGAGGACGCAGUAAAGUGAUGCAAUAAAUUGGAUUUUCAGAGGAAAUGAGAAUUCAAAUGUUAUAUUAUCAGCUUUUGUUGUCUGACUUUUUUUUUUUACUAGCACUCUACAGUGGAUGCAUUGGAAUAAUACAGUUUUACAAGCUUGUUGCAUUAUUUAUAAAAAAAAAAAGUAUGUGUGAAUAUCUUGCAUUUGCUUGGUAAUUUGGAAAUCUGUUCUACAUCUGUUUCUUUGUGUUUGUCAUUUAGGAAUCCAUAAAAAGUAUUAUCUGAAAGAAAUAAACAUCACACAAAAUGUUGAAAUGAAAGACAUCGCUCAAUAAUUGUAAUCACAGCUUUAAUUAAAUGUACAUUUAUUGGUUACCAUCACAGUUUUAAGCCACACAAUACAACUGUGUGAACAUAACUGUCUGGCUCUGAUGUCACAAUCAGGACUGGAUAGCUUAAUUUAGCAGUGAGACUAGCGAGAAAAAAAAAAAGAAAAACUCAACCCAAAACAGAAACAGUCGGGCACAUAACAUCUGCUACACUUUAGUGCCUAAGUGCAUUACACACUCUGAUAACCAUCUGUGUGUGCUCCUCUUAUCAGGCAAGCUUCAGGUCAUCCCUCACAGCAGAUGAAGAAACAGCUUCUUUGCAAAAAACUGUAACACUGCUGAACUCAGAUAUUUCCACAGUGAAUGAGAGGCCUGUGUGUACCUGUCACUGGAGUGUGGACAAUAUUUACUCAUAUGCUGCUCUAAGCUGCUGGUUAUAUGCAGUGUCAUCAGUUCAUGGCUGUCCACCAGAACAUGAGGGCACUUUUGCUGCUGAUACCUUUGACACCCAACCAUUAUCAGUAUUUGUACUUUUACACAAAAAAAUAUUCAUUCAUCCCCAACAUUCAUUAAUAUUAUAAAAUCGAAAUACUCUGUUUGAGGAUGACCCUUGCAGUGUCAUUGUGUUUGCUCAUUGGUAAUGCAUUUCAGCAGCUUACUGUUGAGGUGUUCACAGAAUUGUUGGAUUUUGUUGGCUUUAGGUAGAGCCGGACUGAGCUAUGACUGUGAUUUUAAGUCUUAACGAGAAGCUAAGUGUUUUGGUAAAAAAAACUGAAAUGAAAUGGAAAUGUUACAGUAAGUUACUGAGAGCCUCACAGGUUAGGUCUGCUUUUAUCUGAGGGUAACCAACACUAGAGUUACACGAGUGGUAGAUUAGAUUUAACUGCUAGAUUAAAUGAAACAUCACUCUAUGAAGUAAGGCUUCACUGAAAUAAUAUCCAUUCAGAGACCAACAAAGACCGUGUCUUUGUAUUUUGCAGCCGGGAUGGUUUUAAAUAUCUCAAUUAAUGUCUCCUGUAAAUUCCGUGUACUUUUUUUUUUGAUAAAACAAAUGAGUCUCUGACUUGUUUAUGAUGCUGUGAAUGAGUACAAAGUUUUUAUGUUGUGUCAUUGGGCCCUUG